rnacentral:lncRNA from 1 species
UUAAGUAUCUAUGUAAAUCUCUAAUCUCACAGACCCUCACGUUCACUGAAAUUGCUCGAUCUUGCCUCUUGUACAAAAUUCUUCUACAGACCCUCACGUUCACUGAAAUCUCUAAUCUCACAGACCCUCACGUUCACUGAAGGCCACCGUGAAUGGCCUGUCGUCCGUAGUCCUGGUGGCCGUGGUGGUGGCCGUGGCUGUAGGAGUAAACAAAAACAAUAACCAAAGCAGCAGUGGCAGCGGCGACAUAUCCCUAUGAAUAUAAUGAGUAUAGAGCAAAUCUGAUCUCACAACAAAUUAUAGUCUUGUCUUUCUAAAUCUCUAAUCUCACAGCUGCUGCCGCCUUUCUCUCUUUUCUGUGCCGCCUUUUGGUUAAUCGGCUGUUUUUUAUUUUGAUAUGGUGUUGGGUAUUGUUCUGGCCGGAUUCUAUGGCUUUGGGUAGGCGACUGAUGGACUGGUGGUGGUGGUGGGUCGACGGAUUCUAGGUUUUUAAUUUUGGUGAGGAAGAAGAUGAACAGUAG